UAAUUGAUCCACAUUAUUCAAUUUGACGAGAGUUUUAGUUGUGCAAGUAACGAAUGACGGUUUGGAAUGAGAUUAGUGACAAUGAGGUAAAUAAGUUGAAUGAGUUUAAUGAUCAUGAAAUAGUAUAAAAGGAUUGAUAUGGCGUUGACCAUGGCCACCGAAUGAGAGUAGUUGAGAUCAGAGAACGCUGACAUGGUUGAAGGGUACUUCUUCGAUUUCUGUUUUUGUUUUGAAGUGUGUUGGCUUCUCAUUUACUCAAGCCCUUGCAUGAAAAAGAGAGCAGUUGUAUUUCUAUGUAUAGAUUCUUAUAUAGUGUCGGCAUAUACAUCAUUUUAAAAAUAUUAUUGUAUUAAUUUAAAUAUUUAUAUUAAUUUAAAUAUUUAUUUUAUUUAUGUGAUAAAUAUUUUCUUUAUCUUGAGCGUUGGAGGAGGUUGUGAAAAUAACUAAUUUUAUAGAAAAUUAGAACCAUAUAAUAUAUGGUACACAUUUUUACUCUAUAAUUUAAACCAAGAGUCUUUAAAACUGUAUGUUUGACCGUAAAAUCUAAACUCAAUUAUCUACAUAAUCAAUUGCUAGGUCAAAGGGGUUUUCUCAUGAUUCCAUCCACUUUUGUCAUCACGACCACACUCGGCAACAUAUUGGUUUGAUCUAACAUGAUUCUCUUUGAUAUUUUCCCGAUUAAAUAAAAGAUUUUGCAGAUGUCAUCUUUGACAUAAAUGCAGAUGUAUCUACUGCUGAAUUGAAUCACGAAAGAAUUACACUCAGAGGCAAUUUAUGAGUUUAUUUUACACAAUAAGACAGUUUCUACUACCAAGGUAAUUUUUUCUAACCAAAUUCAUUUUCUAGCUAAAAUCUAACUAAAUAACCUUGUAACUAAAUGAUCCAAGCUAACUAAAUUUAAUAUAUAUAUAUAUUUUGCUGGGAUUUAACCACAGCCUUUCAUUUAUAUAUUAUUUUAAUGUUCAAGAUUCAACACAAACAAAAUGCUCGGUAACAUCAUCUCCCGAUCCUCUUCCUCAAGCUGCUAUGUCUUCCUCUUUGUAUAACCUUAAACGACAACCACGGCGAGCUCCAAUCAUCAUCCCCGCCGUGACCUGCUUCUCGCCACCGACUUUUCUCCUCCACGAUCCGCAUUUGUCAAGUUACCACAGUGAGCUCCUCCCACCACUUUCUCCCCACACACUCAUCUUACGCCAUAGCACUCACGAGCACGGGAGCUGUUCUCAGCGACGAUGGUUGCGUCAACGAACAUGGCGUAAUGAGUUAGAUCCAAGUUUUAUUGGAGCAAUUCGGUGGUGACUCAGUCGGAACGAGUUAGAUCCAAAAUAGUUAAUUUGGACAUUUUUGCAUAUUUGGUCCCUAAACUUAUUUGUUAUUUAUUUUGGAACCCCAAUACUUUUUAAAAGUGAAAAUUGAUCUUUAAUUUUGUCCAAAACUUCAGAAAUUAUAUUUAAACCCCUUGUAGUAGGAAUACAUGUACACUGAAUUAAAUUGAUACAAUAAAAAAUAACUAAAGACAUACCUAAAUGACUUAGAUGAACAAAAACAAAUAUGAAUAUCAAAAAAAUACGUACACCGAAUUGUACAACAAUAAACUAUGUACAUAAAUUUUUUUUUACAUAUUACUUAACUCGUGUACAUAUAUUAGUAUUUUUUAAACACAUAAGAAGGUAUUUGCGUGUUUGAUAUAUAUACUUUCAAAAGAAAUUUACAUGUACACAUGUUUUUGACUAUUGAAAAGGGCUAACGUGUAUGAUAUAAUAUUAUAUUUUAUCAGAUAUUUAUAUGUGAAAUACAUGUUCGAUGUCCAAUAUGUUGUAAAGUUAUGUACAUUCGUUAAUGUACAUUAAAAUUGUGGUGUACAUGUGUACAACAUGUGAUAUAUCAUGAGACGCGGAUGAGCUGUGGCAUAGACGAAGUCGAAUGUGAUCCCGAGAUUGAACCACCACUGUUUCACUUUACGGUGAAUGAGAAGAGGGGACGUUUCGACGGCAGUGAGAGCUUAGGUCACGGCGACGACAAAGACGAUUUGCAACACACAUACCGAAGACCAGAAAGAAGAAUUGCGGCGGAGAAGAAAGAGUUGUGGCAAAAGGAAGAGAUGCGACAGAGAAGGAAGAGUUGCGGUGGCGGAAAUAACUCGGACCCAAUGACCUUCAACAGACGAGUACACGAGUACAUCGAAAAUGAACCAAUAUAUGACUAUGUACACUUUUUAACGAGUACACGUGUACAUCGAAAAUGAACCAAUAUAUGUGAAGAGGGUGUACACAUAUAGGUGGAUUAGUGGUUGCUUAGUAAUAUACAAUGUGCACAUAUAUUAUAUCUUAACGCUAUCCAACAAAAUUAUAUCUUAAUUCGUAUUCUACUUGGAAAUCACUUCAAUAAUAUACAUAUGUACACAAGUAAAUAUGUACACAUGUACACAAGUAAACAUGUACGUAAGUAAACCUGUACACAUAUAAUCUUUGUACACAUGCAUACUUUUAUAUAUGCACACAUGUUAACAUACAUGAGUAAUAAUAAAUUUUGAUUAUCAUGACAAACAUUUCAUAAUUUUGAAAAAAAAAUAAAAAAUGUGUCAUAUUAUUUACUAAUACAAAUUUAGUGUUUAUAACUACAAAUAUUUUGCAAAAAAAAAUUAAAAUCAUGUCAUAUUAUUUAGGAACAUGUUGAUAUUUUAUUGAUUCCUAAUAACUUUAUAGUUCAUUUAACUCAAUUUUGUGUGUAUUUAAGUGUUUUUACUGCAUUUUCAUAGAUAAUUUCGGCUGGACUGCACAAUCUAAAAGUUUGGGCUGAAAUUGAGAAGAAUACAAAAGUACAAGGACCUAAGUUGCAAGCAAAGAAAGUUGGACAAAACUCGUCGGCUUCAGAGGUGUGGAUGCAACGGAACGGUGGCAGCAACAAAGAUGAAACGGAACGGUGGCAGCAGCAAGGAUGAAACGGAGGAUUACGCCGUGUAGAGCUUUGAAACGAGGCUUUGCUGCAGAUAUGUGAUGGUUUGUCGAAGAUCUCGUCUGGCUUCAGAGAUGUGUGGUUCCAUCGGAGAUCUCGUCGCACUUGUUCUGGGCAUCAUAUGCUAAUGGUGCGCAGAAAGCUAGAGUUAUCAAUUUAUGUCCAGUAGUCUCACAACUUCAAUAGCUUUUACAACUCUUAUUCAGACUGUAGUUAUCGAAUAUUUGAGGAAGAAGAUCAAGAAUAUUGAUUUUGUGAUUAUUGAAAAACGUAAAAGAACGAAUGGCUGAGAUUAAAA